GUUUAUUAUGACUUAGUGGUUAUGGUGCGUUUCCCGGCUUUUUAUCUCUUUACGCAUGGUCUUGGGUUCGAACCUCGUUGAAAACA